rnacentral:rRNA from 1 species
GACGAACGCUGGCGGCGUGCCUAAUACAUGCAAGUCGAGCGAAGUUUUUCUGGUGCUUGCACCGGAAAAACUUAGCGGCGAACGGGUGAGUAACACGUAAAGAACCUGCCUUAUAGACUGGGACAACUAUUGGAAACGAUAGCUAAUACCGGAUAACAGCAUUAACUGCAUGGUUGAUGUUUGAAAGUUGGUUUUGCUAACACUAUGAGAUGGCUUUGCGGUGCAUUAGCUAGUUGGUGGGGUAAAGGCCUACCAAGGCGACGAUGCAUAGCCGACCUGAGAGGGUGAUCGGCCACACUGGGACUGAGACACGGCCCAGACUCCUACGGGAGGCAGCAGUAGGGAAUCUUCCGCAAUGGGCGAAAGCCUGACGGAGCAACGCCGCGUGAGUGAAGAAGGAUUUCGGUUCGUAAAGCUCUGUUGUUAGGGAAGAAGGAUUGUGUAGUAACUAUACACAGUAGAGACGGUACCUAACCAGAAAGCCACGGCUAACUACGUG